rnacentral:rRNA from 1 species
UACGGAGGGUGCAAGCGUUGUUCGGAAUUAUUGGGCGUAAAGGGCGCGUAGGUGGUUGGGAUAGUCAGAUGUGAAAUCCUUUGGCUUAACUGAAGAACUGCAUCUGAAACUGCACAACUCGAGUACAGGAGAGGGAAACGGAAUUCCCGGUGUAGAGGUGAAAUGCGUAGAUAUCGGGAGGAACACCAGUGGCGAAGGCGGUUUCCUGGCCUGAUACUGACACUGAGGCGCGAAAGCGUGGGGAGCAAACAGG